ensembl:ncRNA C05A9.9 ncRNA
UCCUCUCAGUUUUUUCCCACGCAUUUCGGACAUAGUAGAAUGUUUCUUGUUUUCUUUCUCAUCACGAAGAAAAGAAGAUGGCAAAGCUUUUGAAAGCUCAAGAAAAAAAGGCAAAAGCCAAAAAACUAAUUUUAAGACAACGAGAGGAGGGCCAUACGAUGAUGUCCAUCCCUCUCGUAUCUCUACAUAGAGUUUCGUUGGCCGGUUUGUGAUGUCCCUGGUGAGAAGACAAUAAAAUUGUGCAAGUCCGUGUAAUUCCGUGGUCACAACGCGUUACGCACA